rnacentral:misc_RNA from 1 species
CUAUUAUCCUUCAUUAACAAAGGCGCCAAUAGUUAAGAGAUAUUUUAUUGAAUUUUAUCGUUCAAUUACAGUUUUACUUCAAAAAUAUAGAAAAUUGUAACAGUAUGGAAAAGGAUAAAGUUAACCAAGAAUCGAUCGAAGCUGCUGAGAAUAUACUUGUUAAAGUUCUAAAGUACUCGUUAACUAUUCUUGGAUUGCCCGUAUUUUCGUUUUUUGCUUUACAAUUUAUAUUUGAAAGUUUAUGCAAAUUUAGUCAAUCCGAUAGCUACUUCUACUCAGCAAUCGUUGCCGUUGUUAUCAUUCACAUUAUCCUCAUAAUGCUCAUUUUUGAAGCAGCAAAGGUCGAAAAGAAACCACAGAAGUCUGAUUAAUAAAACAUAUCUAUAUGUAUUACAGUGUGAUAAAAUUGAUAUGUAAAAUUUGCUCUUUAGUGGUUAUUUCUUAUCAUAAUUAUCAGUUGAGUUCUUAUCUACUCUAAAAAAAAUUUUUUAUGAAAUAUAUACCAUCCUCUACACAGAGAUCGUGAAGCGCAAAGCUUAAACACUUGAAAUUUAUUGCGAUGAAGUGUUCUGUGUGUAACGGAACAUGUAAAAAUCCCUUCGAAUUCAGCUGCUUACAUAGAAUUUGCAGAGAUUGUUUGAAACCUGAUUAUAAAUUUGAAAAGAAGCAAAAAUGUUAUAUUUGCUUACGGAAAUCAACGCGUAAUUUUUACGUAGAUAUUCCAGAGCGGAAAUGUUCUACUGAUAAUCACAUAGAAGAAGUUAUUCUACAAUGCGAGACUUGCAACAAUACAACAGUUUGUCCAAAAUGCUUAAUGGACCAUAGCAAGGGUCAUAAAUUAGUUGUAAAGCCUCAAAUUAUACCAAGGAAUAAUAUUAAAUAUACUGAAAGAGAUGAAAAGAAACGCCUGUUAGAUAGGCUCAAUGAUUUAACAGAAGCAAUAAAAAGAAGUAGGGAUUAUACAAAGACUACAAUCGAUAAUAGAUGUAAAGAAGCUUUUUCUGAGAUAGAAGAAAGACAACGAGAAAUGCAUGAACAUAAUGAAGACAAACAUAAACAACUACUUUCAAAAAUUUGUGAGUACAUUGGCGAAAUUCCGCUACUUCACUCUGGUGAUGACGCUUUAAGCGAAAGGGAAAAUGAAGUUAAGGAUAUAGAAUAUGGAUUUAGGAAAGCAGACUCUGAAAGCUUAUUUUACUUCUUAAAAAGUUCUGCUAUCCCGAACGUGAAUGAUUUGGCUUUAAAUGAACAUUUUAAAUGUUUCUUCGAAGAUGAAUAUAUAACAGUAAAUGAAGUCGCCGCGGAAGAGACACAGCAAAGAGCAUAUGAAUGCCCCGAGUUACCUCCAAAAACGAAGAAAAAACCAGAAAAGUGGAGUUUUUCUAAAUUACUAACAAGAAAGAGUUCUGAUAAACAAAAUACCUUAAUUGAAAAGAGUCAAUUAAAUGAUAGUCCUAGCGUGCAUCAAAAUAUUGUACACGAAUUACAACAAAAACAUUCGCAGAAUGAAGCAUGUGAUAUCCCAAUUUUGCCUCCGAGAAAAUCCUAAAAGAGAAAAAAAGUAGAAAAUUCCGACAUUUUAUCUUUGUAAAGUAAUAAUAUUUGAAGAUAACGUCAUAAACUUUU